UACGUAGGGUCCGAGCGUUGUCCGGAAUUAUUGGGCGUAAAGAGCUCGUAGGCGGUUUGUCACGUCUGCUGUGAAAACUGGAGGCUCAACCUCCAGCCUGCAGUGGGUACGGGCAGACUAGAGUGCGGUAGGGGAGAAUGGAAUUCCUGGUGUAGCGGUGGAAUGCGCAGAUAUCGGGAGGAACACCAAUGGCGAAGGCAGCUCGCUGGGACGUUACUGACGCUGAGACGCGAAAGCGUGGGGAGCAAACAGG
rnacentral:rRNA from 1 species